AUUGAACGCUGGCGGCAGGCUUAACACAUGCAAGUCGAGCGAGCGGCGGACGGGUGAGUAAUGUAUGGGGACUGCCCGAUAGAGGGGGAUAACUACUGGAAACGGUAGCUAAUACCGCAUACUAUCGGAUAACCCAUAGGGGAUUAGCUAGUUGGUGAGGUAAUGGCUCACCAAGGCGACGAUCCCUAGCUGGUCUGAGAGGAUGUUCAUCCACACGUGGACUUAGACACGGCCCAGCCUCCUACGGAGGCAGCAGUGGGGAAGAUUGCACAAUGGGCGCCAGCCUGAUGCAGCCAUGCCGCUUGUAUGAAGAAGGCCCUAGGGUUGUAAAGUACUUUCAGUCGGGAGGCGUUACCGACAGAAGAAGCACCGGCUAACUCCGUGCCAGCAGCCGCGGUAAUAC
rnacentral:rRNA from 1 species